CAUGCCCAGAGGUAGGGUUUGCUGUGCUCGGGAACGUGAGCUAGGGGGACCUGGGAGAGCAUGAUGCGAGAGGAAAAUAGUACGUCCUCGCUGAGCAAACUUUUCGAAAAGACAUCCGAUUUCCCACCAGCUUGGGAUUGAUUGAUCAGCUAGAAAUGGAUUGUUCAGUGUCACCCUGAACAGGGACACGCACGCAUGGUCCCUGUGCUGCUGGCGACAGGGAACAGGGCAGAGGCAGGCACAGCGUCCAUCUGAGGACCACCAGCUGAGGCUCCUCCUUUGCUUCCUCGCACCCCUUUGGGCUCCACAAACACAGAGAAGGGAAGGAAGGAUGUGCAGCCCGGGAUCCAGGCCCUUUCUCCCUCCUUCUCGGGGGCAGUUCAGAGGCAUUCCGUGUCAAGGCCGAAGCCGAGGUCGAAGGGCAAAGCGCAAAGGAAAACCACCACCCUAGAACUCCGUAUCCGGACAACACUGUAGUUCAAAAAAUAAAGAGGACAUAAUAUUUUAGAUGCAUAAAUGCUGCAAUAAUUUAACUCCGGCAGAACGGCGGUAGCAGAAAUAUUGAAGAAAGCUCUUGAGGUAGACAGGAAAUGAUACCAGAUGAAAACUUGGAUCUACGCAACAGGAAUGAAAAGCGUCAGAAACGGCACACGUGAGCUGAGAAACCUGGGAUGGUGCCAUGAGUACAAGCACAAUUUCAGUGUGCUUCCAGAGACAAAUCCACGGAGGUACACGGAUAUCAUGUACGUACAGAAACAUCAGAUAUGUGUGUGUGUGUUCAGGUAUGCAGUGUGUAUAUCUAGGUUACUUUAACUUCAUAUAUAAUUUGGUGCAAAUGUGUGUGUAUAUAUGUAUUUUUUUUUCACCAUUGAAUCUAAGGCUUUUAGGGAAGACGGCUGCUGCUGAUCUGUCUUGUGGCACCUGCAGAUGGCUGGGUACACUCUGGUUCAGAUCACCACCUGUCUGA
rnacentral:lncRNA from 1 species